CUGCGGGCAUAAGACUUAGCGGGUGCAAAAGAAGACGUCUUUCUAAUUUGUCUAUUAUGUUCAAAAGCAAAGCUCUUUAAUACAUUAAGCAUGGUUACUUUAUUGGUUUGUUAGCCAUGUAUUGGAUGUUAUGUUUGCAGCAUGCCCAGUUUCCACUCGUAUAGUCCGUGAACUAUCAGCACGAUGACCAUUACUUUGUCUUCCCUUAACAAUGCAGCAUAGAGAGACGCCGACUGUGGUGCGUCGAACAACAAAACUGGAUACAGGAGUGGCACAGUAUCAUCUUUUCAGAUGAGUCCCGUUUCUGUGUGCAGCAUUCUGAUUGCCAUAUACGUAAUUUGAAAUUUUUCAAUGUAAUUUGAAUUUGGUAAUUUGAAUGCAGAUCGUAACAUUUCUGACAUCUUACGUCCAGUGGUUGUGCCCUAUCUUCAAGGCCUGCCAAAUGCCAUCUUCCAAGAAGAUAAUGUAAGACCACAUGUUACAAGUUCUGUUCCGACCUUUCUCCAUACACAGGGUAUUCGAUUGCUGCCCUGGCCAGCACGGUCUCCAGAUCUGUUACCCAUUGAAAACAUCUGGUCAUGGGCUGAUAAGAGACUGGCUCGCCAAUACGGUUGAUGAAGUGUGUCAUAAGCUUGAAGCAGCAUGGAAUGAGUUAGCCGUUUCUGUCAUCCAAGCCCAGUUUGACUCCAUGCCUAACCAAUUGUUGAGGAUCAUUGUUGAUGAAAGAACUAAGGAAAAUAUAUUCAUAAGAGAAAAAGGCAUGAUAAAGAGUAAUAUCAAAGUAACUUCAUCUUAGAGUCUUAGAUCUUGCUUCAUAGAUGUCCUUUCUGGCACUAAUAAUGAUUUUUAGAAAAUAGACAUAAUUUCUUGUUCAGUUAGAAAGUUCUAUUGAGACUAUGAUGACAAAAUUUCAAAACCUGAGGAUAUAUUUUUGUAAAGAAAGGGAAAAGGCAAAGUGAAACAAGGAUCCACUGGAUUUGUACCCAAGUGGGAACGUUAUGUACACCUCCAGAUUUUAGAUGACUGUUUUGCUGCUAUGGCCAGUUGCAGCAAUAUCGAUAAUUCUUUUGAGUGUAUUAUAAUGAAUUCUGUUCAAGAAACUAAAAGUUCUUUUCCAGAAGUCCUUCUGCCCUUUUGUCAGUAAUGAAGCAACAGAUAAUCCACUGAUAACUGAAACUCGAAAUUUCUGAAACUUAACUGAUUGCUCCAGGCAUGAACAGGAAAAGAAAAAAAAAACAGAUGUUUGACAAAAUGUUUGAAAAGCACUAUAGAGGCGAAAGACAUAAAUCAAAAUUUUUGGUGCAUAUGUUGCUGGUCAGCUGAAGAUAGUGAAACGUCCUGAUCAGAAACUGUUAAGGAAUCCAAGAUUUGAUUUAGGAAUUUAAACAUCCAAAAUAAAAUUCUGUUGAACAUGAA
rnacentral:lncRNA from 1 species